AUUGAACGCUGGCGGCAUGCUUUACACAUGCAAGUCGAACGGUAACAGGUUAAGCUGACGAGUGGCGAACGGGUGAGUAAUGCAUCGGAACGUGCCCGAUCGUGGGGGAUAACGCAGCGAAAGCUGCGCUAAUACCGCAUACGAUCUAAGGAUGAAAGCGGGGGACCGUAAGGCCUCGCGCGAUCGGAGCGGCCGAUGUCAGAUUAGGUAGUUGGUGGGGUAAAGGCCCACCAAGCCGACGAUCUGUAGCUGGUCUGAGAGGACGACCAGCCACACUGGGACUGAGACACGGCCCAGACUCCUACGGGAGGAAGCAGUGGGGAAUUUUGGACAAUGGGCGAAAGCCUGAUCCAGCAAUGCCGCGUGCAGGAAGAAGGCCUUUGGGUUGUAAACUGCUUUUGUACGGAGCGAAAAGGUCCUUUCUAAUACAAGGGGCUCAUGACGGUACCGUAAGAAUAAGCACCGGCUAACUACGUGCCAGCAGCCGCCGUAA
rnacentral:rRNA from 1 species